AGGCAGGCAGGAGAAGAGGACCAGUGUCCUGGCCCUGGACACAGCAGCUAACUCGGGACGAGUGGCAGAAGGCGGCACACAACCCACCACUGCACAUGCCGACAUGACAGAGAGAAGAAAACGCGAGUCACAGACGGCGAUAUUUCACGAGGCGGCCGGGGGCGGGAAGACAGGAACAUCCCGUGUUUGCGGGGCGCCGGGACGAAACAGUCUCCCCCGGAAGUGAGCUGGGUGGACUGCAGGUCCCUCCAGAGUGAAGAUGGGUGCCCCCAUCCGGCCCCACACGGACACGCACGUGCCCAGACAGAGACGCGUUUGUGAUGUGUUCCUGGCUUCGCGCGGCCGCCGGGGAGUGGGAGCAGCGCCACGCCCGACCAGACCAGACUGUGUAUGCCAAGCGUGUCGGCCUAUACUGAAGUCUGUACUUGGGGAAGAAGGAAAUUGCGCCCAGAGGAAGAAAUCAGAUUGCAGGAAAUCAUUUUGUGGGGAAAUGACCAGACUGCUUUCUCGAGUGCAGAAGAAUUCUGCCUGCUCGCACGGAGGGCCCAGCCCGCACGCGGCUCUGGGUGCGGCUCAGGAGCACGGCCCGCCUGGCUGCUAGGACGCGGCAGGAACGCCCGGGUCAGGGCCCGGGAGCCCGGCGGCUCUUCCCAGGAGCUCGGAAACCCAGACAAAACCACACGCCUCAGGGUCGCUCAGGAUCACAGACGCCUGUUCUCACCCCCAGGGGCGUGAGUGGACACAGCGGCUGGCCACCCCAGAAACCAGCCAAGCGAGGACCGAGGUCACGGUGUUCCGUCUGUCUGUCCCGCAGUGCCCUGAACUCCGGGCCUCACACCGCGCUCUCCUCACGCAGGGCUGGUGUUGGGGGCACCGGGACCAGGUCUCGUUGUUAGCUGCCGCCCGGCUGCCUCCCGGUCAGCGAGGGUGCAGCAGCUCUGCACUGGACACGUCCCCGAGCUGAGUGUCCGUGCAUCACCAAAGAAGAGGAGAAAAUUAAGGGUCAGUGAAACCCUGUGUGCCCGUCUCUCCGCCAAGCUGUUCUGUGGCGGCUGGCACACAGGCCUGCGCGUCUCCUGCUCGCCGGAGGAGCCCCGAGCAAGGCGCAGGCCACCCGGGCCGCUGCUCUGUCCCAGGGCACCACCCCAGCGGGCAGCAGAGGCUCUCAGACCUCUCCCGCUCCCGGCCACGAGGAAUCAGGGCUGCCAGCGAGGGAGGUCAGGAGGGUGAUAGCGGCCCAAGGGAAGCUCGUCCCCACACUUACAUGCACGGAUGGGCACAGGAGGGACA